UUUUAUUUUAAACAAUUAAAAAUUGGAUUAAAAAAUAUCCCUCUAUAAAUUUCAUCUUGGAGACGCCUAUGGGAAUGCCGACAUUCCCAUAUCAGUUGCCUGCAUUCGCAACGAAGCGAGAAGAAGGCACCGCGCAUGAGUUGAUCGGAUCGAGAACAUCGAUCAUCGAGAAAUCGAUUUUGGGUCGAUUGGAAGCUCAGUUUUGUCAGCAAACUCGUCAAGGUAACACGCCGUAUUAUUUAUAAGUGGCGGAGUUUGAAGCUAAAUCUCAAAAUGGAACAUAACUAAAAGGAUAUCCAAAAGUCAGCCAAUACCAUGUGCCAAAAAUAGUAUAUCAAAAUUAAAUAUAUCUGGGGACCUAUUCACAUAAAAGGAAUUAUAAUAUCGCUGGCGUGUUACUUGCUCAAAUUCCGUCACUUGUCACCUAUUUAGACUCAUAGUCACUUUGUCACGUAACAUAACUUUACGUCAAUCUACACAAAUAUGUACCAGUUGAACUAGUAGCAUCUCUGUUAUGGUUUCCUCAUGGAGUUCACUGUUUUGUUGAAGAAAACCAUUACCUGAUUUCUACUUCACCCAGGACCUUAUAGUAGGACUUACCACAGCAGCCAACCAUUUUAUCGUGCCAAAAGGGAAUUUCCUACAGACUUUCACCUACGGACUUUCAACCCAUUCAAAUAUUGUUGUGAUAAGAUAAGUUUGUUUAUUUUUUAUAUACUUUUGGUCACUAUAUAUUUGCUACAGUGUAAACUUUUCGUAUGCAUACGAGGAAGUAAACUACAAUAGGUACAUAUUUUCUUCGUAAUAGAGAGGGUUUUCGGUCGUUAUUUUUUUUUCUUUGGUUCAAUAUAAUUAGCAGUUUGUUUAAAUAAAUAAAAUCAGGUCUUUUUUAAUGAUAAUUAUAAAUAAUCGUAGCUUAAAAUUUGAUAGGGAAUCAGGGGGUUAAAAUUUUGUCGCGGAUUUUAAAUAGGGAAUAUGUUUAGUGUUUUUUUUUGCAAAUAUGAUAAUAUAACGAGUGCUGACCAACUCAAUAUACAGGGUGUCCCGAAAAGAAUGGUCAAAAAUUAUACCACACAUUCUGGGGUCAAAAAUAGUUCGAUUGAAACUAACUUACCUUAGUACAAAUGUGCUCACAAAAAAAGUUACAGCCCUUUGAAGUUACAAAAUGAAAAUCGAUUUUUUUCAAUAUAUCGAAAACUAUUAGAGAUUUUUUAUUGAAAUUGUACAUGUAUAAUUCUUAUGUCAGGAACAUCUUAAAACAAAAUUAUAGUGAAAUUUGUCCACCCCAUAAAAAAUUUAUGGGGAUUUUGUUCCCUUAAACCCCCCCAAACUUUUGUGUACGUUCCAAUUAAUUCAUUAUUGUGGUACCAUUAGUUAAACACAACGUUUUUAAAACUUUUUCGCCUCUUAGUAUUUUUUCGAUAAGCCAGUUUUUAUUGAGAUGCGGCUUCUUUUUCAAUAUAUUUACGUAAAAAUUUUAUGGGGGUUUUGUUCCUUUAAACCCCCCUAAUGUUUGUGUACGUUCCAAUUAAACUAUUAUUGUGGUACCAUUAGUUAAACAGUGUUUUUAAAACUUUUGUCUCUUAGUCUUUUGUUCAUAAGUCACCUUUUAUCGAUAUGUAGCUUCUUUUUCAAAAUAUACCUAAAAAUGUAAAUUAUAAAUAAAUUUUCAGAUUAUUAACAGGUCUCUUUAACCGUACUUAACCAUAUACAAAUAUGUGGUGAAUUCGACAAAUAUUCAAAAUAUCUCGAUAAACACUGGCUUAUCGAAAAAGUACUAAGAGGCAAAAAAGUUUUAAAAUUAAUGUGUUUAACUAAUGGUGCCACAAUAAUAAUUUAAUUGGAACGUACACAAAAGUUUGGGGGGGUUUAAGGGAACAAAACCCCCAUAAAAUUUGUAUGGGGUGCACAAAUUUUACUUAAUUUUUUUUUAAGAUGUUGCUGCCGUAAAAAUGCCACAUGUCAAUUUUCAAUAAAAAAUCUCUGAGAGUUUUCGAUAUAUGAAAAAAAAUCGAUUUUCAUUUUGUAACUUCAAAGGACUGUAACUUUUUUUGUGUGCACUAUUGUAUAUAGGUAAGUGAGGUUCAAUCAACCUAUUUUUGAACCCAGAAUCUGUGGUAUAAUUUAUGACCAAUCUUUUCGGGACACCCUGUAUAAUUAGUAUUUUUUCUAGGUGAAAUACUUGAUUUUUGGUAACCGUAGCGUUCUUGUUGUGUGUAUUUCACUCUAGGCUAGUUCAAUUUAGGUAAUAUUACUAACUUUUAGUUGUAAGGACUUUGUGCUAUUCAAACGGACUUGAUUUUGAUUUUCUAUUAAUACCUUUACUUAGCGCAGUGUGUAGUGGUUAAUUGCAUGUUAGUGGCUUUUUGGCCCUGUUUUACCGUUACACCACCACUACCACUGCUAUUGUGUUUAGAGAGUUAUAUGUAACUUGUAAUAUAUAUAACCUAUUUAUUAUUAAUAUAUUUGUAUGUAUUAA
rnacentral:lncRNA from 1 species